UCCGGGUUGGACCCGGCGGUCCCGCCAGACAUGGUAACUGGCAGCGAGGGUUGCGCUCGUUGCGGGACUUAACCCAACACCUCACGGCACGAGCUGACGACAGCCAUGCAGCAUCUGUGCACGCUCCCUUGCGGGUCAUCACCGUUUCCGGCUUUUACCACGUGCAUGUCAAGCCCAGGUAAGGUGGGGAUGACGUGUAACCGAAUCU
rnacentral:misc_RNA from 1 species